CAGUCGCCGCGGUAAUACGGAGGGUGCAAGCGUUAAUCGGAAUUACUGGGCGUAAAGCGCACGCAGGCGGUUUGUUAAGUCAGAUGUGAAAUCCCCGGGCUCAACCUGGGAACUGCAUCUGAUACUGGCAAGCUUGAGUCUCGUAGAGGGGGGUAGAAUUCCAGGUGUAGCGGUGAAAUGCGUAGAGAUCUGGAGGAAUACCAGUGGCGAAGGCGGCCCCCUGGACGAAGACUGACGCUCAGGUGCGAAAGCGUGGGGAGCAAACAGGAUUAGAUACCCCGGUAGUCCCUGUCUCUUAUAA
rnacentral:rRNA from 1 species